GGUUUAUGAGUAAAUAUCCUGACAUCCAUCCAUACAUCGCACAAAGGACUGGGCGUUAGUCAACUCUGGAAACAACCUCGUUACCAGGGCCUUUUUUGAAAAAUUUUCAAAAAAGGCCCUGGGAACGAGGUUGCUCUGGAAAACCAAGAAGUGUCAAGAAUAUAGUGUACAGCCGAGUGAAAGUUUUGCUGGUCCUCCGAUAUGAAAACUACGGGCCCUACCUCUCGG